rnacentral:hammerhead_ribozyme from 1 species
AUUUAGUUGACGAGUUCAAAAUAGGAUGAAACCUGCGUCCUAGAU